rnacentral:tRNA from 1 species
AUUUAUAUAGUAUAAUAAAUUACCUCUAACUUCCAAUUAGAAAAUCUACCCUGUAGUAUAAAUA